rnacentral:rRNA from 1 species
ACGGCCGCGGUAUUUUGACCGUGCAAAGGUAGCGCAAUCACUUGUCUUUUAAAUGAAGACCCGUAUGAAUGGCAAGACGAGGGCUUAGCUGUCUCCUUUUUCAAGUCAAUGAAAUUGAUCUCCCCGUGCAGAAGCGGGGAUACCCACAUAAGACGAGAAGACCCUAUGGAGCUUCAGACACCAAGACAGACCACGUCAAAACCCCCUAAUAAAGGACUGAACUAAGUAGACCCUGUCCUAAUGUCUUUGGUUGGGGCGACCACGGGGAAACACAAAACCCCCGCGUGGAAUGGGAGCACCCCUGCUCCUAAAACUGAGAGCUCCCGCUCUAAUAAACAGAAUUUCUGAC